AACAAUUAGUAAUAGUAAAAACACAAAAAAGAAUUACAAACUUGAAUGAACUCUGUGAACACCGCCCUGAAUCCCCUUUAUCGACCUACCGUUAAUUUUAUUUUCAUGGAGUUUGCCAACCGUAACGGUACUUUGACUCGUUGUAUGUACCUGUUCUUACUGAAAAUAAUACAUUUUUCUAAGUGUAUACGUUGUUUCUGUCAUGGAUUCCAUUCACGUGUAGCAUUAAUACUAAUUACUUCCCUCGCCAAGAACUUUCUGAGCUUAACAAAUAUUUGACACACUCCAGCGAAUGAAGGUUGACCCUACACCAUAGCAGGAAGGUAGGUCGUAUAUGGCAAACCCCAUAAGAAAACAUCCUCAAUGUUUACGUCCAAUAUAAACACAUAGUCGGUUCUAUCGUUAUUGGGCUUUGCUUAUAGUGGUUGCUCUAUAAUGGAGUCGGUACAAAUUUCCAUGAACUGUUAUCAAUAUUCCGUUGUCCCCAAAUACCUGGCUCUCUGACACAAACUAUUUUACCGACAAUAUUUACUCGGCGUUCUCCAGAAAGACCACGGCAUUAUCGACUUUCUGUUGCGAUUCAAAAUAAUGGAAUUCUCGAUAAUAUCAAGACCUUCUGCCAUUGGACGAGUAUGGUACAUUCCAUAGUUAUGCGCUGGUGGCACGCGGUCACGCAAUUAACAACAGCAAAGAGUGAAAUUGUUACUAGUCAGAAGCGAGUAAGGUACUGUAGAGUGGAAGUUAACUUGAGGCGACUAUACCAACAUUUCUGUAAGAAAGAGAAGGACGAAAUAAGAACCGUUUAGGAUCGACAGGAAGAUACUUUCGCUUUCUCUGUCUACUGUGUACGUAGUACGAUACAGUAGAGUAUAAAUUAGACAAGAGGGGAAUUUGUUAUAACUAUAGGUAACGUUCCGAAAUUCAUUGCGAGCACUGCAGGCAUUAUCUUCAUUAAUUACAUAGAAGUAAACAGGGAUAUGACAAUACUCGUAUUACUGGGUAUAAGUGGGAGUCAUUUGAUUGAGAAAUAUACGUAAUGGCGAAGUGAAAAAAUAUGAAUAUGAGAAAUACCAAAGAAUAUAUACCACGCAUAAAAUCUAAGCGAAAAUGUAUUUACGUAACCAGCCUUAUCCUAUGGAACUUCGAUAAACUUUAUAUCUAAUUCUGUAACUUCAUACGAAGACCUGCAAUGUCACUGGGGAGACAGUAUAAUUGCGAGCUUAUGUCUUCUCGUGUAAUUAGCUGAGAAGCCCCCCAAUGGACUUGUAGCUAUUCGCAAUCUGUAUUGCCUGUCAAAACAUUUGAAAUACGUCAAACUCCACGUUCUUGUGAAGUAAAUGAUUUUACAGCA